UUUGGAGCCAUGUAAAAAGGUAAUUACUUGGCAUGUUUACUUUGUAAUGGCUUGGUAAAACAGUUGCAUGUUCUUUCCUUCUUGUGUGGAGCUGUAAAAGUACAUUUUUAACAUAUUUAACAUCUCAUUAUAAUCGUUCAGACGAGCUGCGCUCUGAUGCAGUGCGCUGACGCAAUCACUCACAUUGUUCACUUCUUCUUUACUAGACUUGACAAGCUGCACGUAGUGGUGGCGAGUGGAUCGCGCAACGUUCACUACCACUUCACGUUUGUUGCAUAA